rnacentral:RNase_P_RNA from 1 species
GUAGUGGGCAAGGGAAUCGCCGGGUGAAUCAGUCUUCGCGCUGUUCAUCCGGAGGAAAGUCCGGGCCACUUCAGGAAGAGGGCCGGGUAACCCCCGGGGGGAGCGAUCCCACGGAAAGUGCAGCAGAAAAUAAACCGCCUGACAUGUUCAGGUAAGGGUGAAAUGGUGGGGUAAGAGCCCACCGCCUGUUUCAGCAAUGAAACGGGGCAUGGUAAACCCCCCUCGUGGCAAGUUCAAGCAGUGGACCAUCCUGAUAAAUGUCCACGGGUAGAGCGCUGGACAAAUCGGGCAACCGCUUUGUGAGAUAGAUGAUUCCCUAAACAGAACCCGGCUUAUUGUCCACUACACUU